rnacentral:rRNA from 4 species
CCUCAAAUCAGGUAGGACUACCCGCUGAACUUAAGCAUAUCAAUA